GGCUGUGGUCAGGAAGUCUACUAAAGAGUAGAAAUGGAUCAGGUGGGUGGACGGGUGGAUGAGGGGUCCAGAGAUCACAAAGAACAUGACCCUGACAAAUCACUCUGAGGGCAAAGGGCACAGGAGGGACAGGACUAAGAAUGAGGAGAGUAGUGGUGGGGGCAGACACGUCUGGGAGGGAGCCCUGGACCUGCCACUCACAUUGCCAUGGACCUGGGGGGGGGGUCAGUGACAGAGCCCACUUCUCAUGCUGUCAUGGGAUCAUGUGGAACUCACAUGUGCCAAGCACCUAGGAGAGGAGCUUGCACAAGCUGGUGGCUCCAUAGACGGACUGGCUCCAAGACCCCUGGAUGAUUGGCAGCCCAACUGCAGGCCACAGAGAGGCAAUGGAGACAGUCCCUCAGGACCAAAGACAGGGGCUCCGGAGGGGACAGUAUCGAAUAGAGGUCUGCAUAUUAACUCCAGCACACCAGCCACUUACCUGGAUUUCAGCACAACAGCAAGUCACUGGCUAUGACAAGAAGCAAGGUCUCACUGCCAUGGUGGAGGAAUCUAAUUCUGCUUGCUGAAGAGGGUAGGCAUCCCCAG